rnacentral:rRNA from 1 species
AUUGAACGCUGGCGGCAGGCCUAACACAUGCAAGUCGAACGCGUGGCGGACGGGUGAGUAAUGUCUGGGAACCUGCCUUAUGGAGGGGGAUAACUCCUGGAAACGGUAGCUAUUACCGCAUACCAUCGGAUUUGCGCAGAUGGGAUUAGCUAGUAGGUGGGUUAAAGGCUUACCUAGGCGACGAUCCCUAGCUGGUCUGAGAGGAUGACCAGCCACACUGGAACUGAGACACGGUCCAGACUCCUACGGGAGGCAGCAGUGGGGAAUAUUGCACAAUGGGCGCAAGCCUGACGCAGCCAUGCCGCGUGUAUGAAGAAGGCCUUCGGGUUGUAAAGUACUUUCAGCGGGGAGGCGUUACCCGCAGAAGAAGCACCGGCUAACUCCGUGCCAGCAGCCGCGGUAAUUC